UGAUAUUGUAACAUUUCAAUAAUUCCAUAUUGAAUGAAAAAUAAAUUAUGAUUGAGUAUAUAAGAGAUAUAUAAGAGAUUUUGAAUAAUAAUAAUAAUAAUAAUAAUAGAGCUUAAGUAUUUUGAGCCGGUAGUUUGGUCAUAAUAAGUUAUUCUUAUUAAUGGAUAGGAUCGUUACAUUUAGUAUUGAACUGUUUUAAAUGGGGAGAGUCUGUGACAUGAGUUUAAGCGUUUUAGGCCGAUGGUUUGGGCUCCAAUGAGUUAGUUAUUAUUGUUAGUGGGUCAUUACAGAUAUGAAAACCAUUCAUGGUGUAUAAAUACUUUUCGAGUGUCCUCAAAUAUGCAUCGAUAUAAAAUAUUGAGAAAUACAGAUUAAAAUGUUCAGAUAUUCUGAGAAUAUUAUAAUACGCAG
rnacentral:lncRNA from 1 species